rnacentral:rRNA from 1 species
AUGAAGAGGAAGAGAGGCGAGCCUGAGCUGGAGUACGGGGCCUCGUCCGGGGUGGAUGAGAGGUCCAACGAGAGCAGCGACAAGAUGCAGGGCCAGCUCCUAGCCACUGCGCGCGGCGCCGACGGGGGCAAUGCCAAGUUCGCGUGGUAUGGCGCUCCAUCGGUGGAUGUGGCCGCGGCGGCGGUGGAGCACGGGUUCGGCAGGAUGAACAACCGGGUCCUUUUCCAUCGCGCGCACGGCGACGACGUCCACCUCUCGCCGCCUCGGUCUCCUUAUGCCAGGUCAGAGGCCAUCCCGGCCGGGUCCUCCAAGCUCCACCCCAAAAGUGACAAUUACGACAAUGCCAUCGACAACAUGCAGAACCCACAGUGGUAUGUUGUUUGGGGCAAGGACAUGAACAUGAGGAUCCUCCCAGAGUACGUCGUCAGCUUCAAGUGUCCCAACCUCCAUCAGAUGCAAGGAUCAUCGGGGGCGAACUCCACGCUAAAGAAGCCUUCGCCGGUGGCUCAUGACAUGUUUCCGACGCUUCUAGCAGAGAUCCAGUGGUUCAUGCCAUCUUCCAAGCUGCAGACAUUGCAGGGGACCUACAAUUGCUUCAAGAAGAAUGUUCUAUCAAAGCAACCAUGUCUGAUAUGUUCACAUGAAUUCUUUCAUGUGGCCGUCCCUCACAUUCCUUUGCUUUCAACUAUUCCAGCCAGCUGCAAUGAAGUCCUCCAUAGAGAAGGGUUUGCAGAAAAUGAUCUUGGCAUCCCAGAUAAGCAGGUCGGGGUCAAAGCCGGUGCCCGGGGGAUUUCAAUGGAUCACCAACACGAGAAACUGAAAAUGGCAGGACCAGAAAAGAUGGUCCCAGAUCUCACUGCAGCCGGAUGCCCAGGCCGCCGCGCUCCGAGCCUGCGCCGGCCGGCUCAUGCGCGCGCCGCCGACCGCGACCGGCUGCUCAACACGCUCCUCGCGGCCGCGGGCAACGACCAGGAGGAGGAGGACGCGCCGGAGGUGGGGCAACGUCAGAAUCAACGCGCUCGGAUCCAGCCGAGGAUUACGGCGACACGGACGCGGAGGCUCCGGCCGCGGCCGCCGCACUCCCUCCGGUCAUCACCUUCCUUCCAGUUUUGUAUGAUUUUAUGCACUCUUUUCAUGGUAUAUAUAUGGGAGUACAGGGAUCCGUGGGACGAGGCCAAGGUGUACGUGCGCAACCUUCCCUACGACGUUAGCAGCGAGCGCCUUGUGCAGCUCUUCGGGCAGGACGUCGUCGUCGAGGUCACCGUGUCGAUAUGUGGUAUUGGUGACAGAAGGUGCAUCACGCGCUUGGGUAUUUUCCUCCGCACGAGGAGAACAAGAUGCAGCUUGUGA